UACGUAGGGUGCAAGCGUUAAUCGGAAUUACUGGGCGUAAAGCGUGCGCAGGCGGGUUUGUAAGUCUGUCGUGAAAGCCCCGGGCUCAACCUGGGAAUUGCGAUGGAGACUGCAAGGCUUGAAUCUGGCAGAGGGGGGUAGAAUUCCACGUGUAGCAGUGAAAUGCGUAGAGAUGUGGAGGAACACCGAUGGCGAAGGCAGCCCCCUGGGUCAAGAUUGACGCUCAUGUACGAAAGCGUGGGGAGCAAACAGG
rnacentral:rRNA from 1 species